rnacentral:rRNA from 1 species
GAUGAACGCUAGCUACAGGCUUAACACAUGCAAGUCGAGGGGAAACGAUAUUGGAAGCUUGCUUCCGAUAGGCGUCGACCGGCGCACGGGUGAGUAACGCGUAUCCAACCUGCCCAUCACUUGGGGAUAACCUUGCGAAAGUAAGACUAAUACCCAAUGACGUCUCUAGAAGACAUCUGAAAGAGAUUAAAGAUUUAUCGGUGAUGGAUGGGGAUGCGUCUGAUUAGCUUGUUGGCGGGGUAACGGCCCACCAAGGCGACGAUCAGUAGGGGUUCUGAGGGGAAGGUCCCCCACAUUGGAGCUGAGACACGGUCCAAACGCCUACGGGAGGCAGCAGUGGGGAAUAUUGGUAAAUGGGCGAGAGCCUGAACCAGCCAAGUAGCGUGCAGGAUGACGGCCCUAUGGGUUGUAAACUGCUUUUAUAAGGGAAUAAAGUGGGAGUCGUGACUCCUUUUGCAUGUACCUUAUGAAUAAGGACCGGCUAAUUCCGUGCCAGCCGCCGCAGUAA